GGCGACAGAGACUGACGGCGUUGACGGGGAAGGCGGGGGGAAGGCAGCCGGUAAGAGUGGAGGAAAGGGUGGUGGCAAAGGAAGCUUCAAAGGUGGCAAAGGCAAGAUGGGAAUGAAGGGAGGCAUGA
rnacentral:ribozyme from 11 species